rnacentral:miRNA from 1 species
UCGGGGUAUUCCACAAAAAAUUACCCUGUGGGAUGAAAUAUUUCUCGGGUUUCGCCCUCGGAAUAUUUCAUCCCUCAGGGUAAUUUUUUGUGGAAUACUCCU